CCUACGGGCGGCAGCAGUGAGGAAUAUUGGUCAAUGGACGAGAGUCUGAACCAGCCAAGUAGCGUGAAGGAUGACUGCCCUAUGGGUUGUAAACUUCUUUUAUAUGGGAAUAAAAUGUUCCACGUGUGGGAUUUUGUAUGUACCAUAUGAAUAAGGAUCGGCUAACUCCGUGCCAGCAGCCGCGGUAAUACGGAGGAUCCGAGCGUUAUCCGGAUUUAUUGGGUUUAAAGGGAGCGUAGGUGGAUUGUUAAGUCAGUUGUGAAAGUUUGCGGCUCAACCGUAAAAUUGCAGUUGAAACUGGCAGUCUUGAGUACAGUAGAGGUGGGCGGAAUUCGUGGUGUAGCGGUGAAAUGCUUAGAUAUCACGAAGAACUCCGAUUGCGAAGGCAGUUCACUGGACUGCAACUGACACUGCGGCUCGACAGUGUGGGUAUCAAACAGGAUUAGAUACCCUAGUAGUC
rnacentral:rRNA from 1 species